rnacentral:lncRNA from 1 species
CCUAACUUUCUCUACUGGAAACUACAAGUAUUUGAUUUUUCAGUAAUACUAACUAAAGCAUCUCAGAUGAGUUGCAUUUUUAGGAUAGAUCCCGACUCAAUCCGAUUUAGUCUCCUGACUCUCCUCAAAUCAUUACAAAGUCCAAACUUAGUAUAUUUAUUCUGUUAUACAUCUCUAUAACACAAUUUCUUCUUUAGAGUCUCUAAAAUCACCAGCGAAGAAACAUAGUAUUUAGCAUCCAACACAGAGUUCCAUGUCCAGGUAUUCCAUCACACGUCUAACACAAAAUGACAAAGAAAGAAGUGGUCUCUGCUGAAGUUUGGUCACCAAUAAUCAAGCAGAUAUUGGAUGAAGUCAUUGGCUUCAGUGCUGAAGCCAAAAGUUCAAAAAGUGGACACCCUUUCCAUUUUUUACAGAAGCAUAAAGGAACUAGAUGAAUAAUUACCCCGAUAACAUGACUAUAAACGAAUAUAGAACAUAGGGGUAAGUAUGACAGGAUGAUAAAAAGCCAACAUCUUUAACUAAUUAAACAAUAACAGAUUGUCAGAUUCCAAAGAGUACUUGAAGGUAACAGAUGUUGGGAUUGGCAAAGAAAGGGAGCAAGGCGAAUGUUUUAGAAAAAAAAAGAAGAAGAGGUUUUUGUAAGGUGGAUUCAGCUAAAAGCUUCAAGAUGAUAUUAUAUUGAGUUUCAGUAUAGAACUAAAUCAAACUUAACCGACCAAAAGUUUCAAAUUUUGGUAGGAGCCAGUGCCUAUUGAAGUAAUACAAGCUAUUUGUGUUGUGCAGGAAAUCGGCUAAUACUUACUUAGUUUGUAGCAAUAUAAUUGAAAAAUGCAUUAGUCUUAAAAGGGAAGAACAAAUCAUUUGAGCCAUCUGACACAUUUUAGUCAUAUAAGGGUAAUUUGCAUGAUAAAAGAAUAGUGAUGAUAAUGAAGAUUUUGAUUAAAAUACGAGGCAAAACCCUAAAGUAGGAGCUACCAAGAUAUUGUUAAUGAAUAGGAAAAACUGAAGAAGAAAAUCCUAGUAGAACAGAUGGAAGCAUAAUGAAAUUCAAAUAAGGGCGUGCGUGUGUAUUUAUAAUACAUAACAAGAAAAAGAAGGGGAAUUUGAAAGGAAAUGUGAAACUUUUCAAAUCUUGACAGCACGUUUGAAUAAGAGCUCCGAUUUGAACAAUAAGAGUUCCAAUUUGAACAGAGAGAUAAGUAAUAUAACAACUCAGAGAUUGUUAUUAGUUCAGUUCAAUAAUGUAUGUAUUACUAUUACCUGAUUGAUAUAUAAGAUUCGGAAGCAUCAAUGUCGAAUUGGAUUCAGACUAACGUGCUGAUGUUCAUCACACUUGCUGCGUAUGAAUACCACGACGAUUACAGAUAGCUCUAGAGUAAUGUAAUAGAUCCAAGAACCAUUGCAGGGCAGGUUGUGGUCGUCGUCCUAAUUAUUUUUGACUUUGGAUAUGUAUAUAUAAAUAUAAAAUAAAGAUUGAGACCGCCUAGGCCUAGCCUAACCAUUUUGUAAUAGGGGAGUAUGUUGAGCCUAGUGUAAGAAAAGAG